rnacentral:lncRNA from 1 species
UUCCCUUUCUACUGUUUAUAUUUAGAAAACAAAUUCAUUUCUGAAGACUCACUAUCUUCCUCAAACUCAUGGAGAUCUCCCAGGUGCUGGGUUCCAGGAGACAAGUACCGAAUAUGUGAAGGUCAACAGCACUGGACCGGAGGCAUCUGGAGAGAUACUGUCCCCCAGGCACAGCGCUUCUGAGAGGUAGGAAGCCAUGUCUGAAUGCCAACUCUCAUUUUUUACAUGUUCGGGUUCUGUAGCAUGUGUCGGUCUUGAACUCCCAGUCUUCCUGUGGUUGCAAAGAGUUAAAAGGUGAAUGAAAACCCCUUAGCAACUCUGACCCAGGAGAACACCCACCUGCACUGCCCUGCAGCCUGGAAGAACAACACUGAAUGCAGGACUUGAGAGAACCUAGAUCAGAAGGCUGCUUGGGUAGGGACUUAGAGUAAUACAGAACUUUCUGGAUGGCUCUGUAAAUCCUGACACGUACUAACUUUGGAUAGUUCAGCAUAUCUCUGCCCUGAAGCACAUGACCUGUCUGUCUGUCUGUCUGAUGUUGAAGUGCAGACUGGGCUUCUGCAUCUCAUCCGGCCUUUGCUGCCCC